UACGUAGGCAGCAAGCGUUGUUCGGAAUUACUGGGCGUAAAGAGUGUGUAGGCGGUGCUCUAAGUUUGGUGUGAAAUCUCCCGGCUCAACCGGGAGGCUGCAUCGAAUACUGGAAUGCUAGAGGGUGGGAGAGGUAAGCGGAAUUCCUGGUGUAGCGGUGAAAUGCGCAGAUAUCAGGAGGAACACCAAUGGCGAAGGCAGCUCGCUGGGACGGUACUGACGCUGAGGCGCGAAAGCGUGGGGAGCGAACAGG
rnacentral:rRNA from 1 species